UUUUUUUUCUUUUACACAUGUUCCUGGGGCUUAUGGAAUUUACUGGUUUAUUAUAAAGGAUAUUACAAAGGAUACAGAUGAAGAGAGGUGUAGGGAAAGGUAUGGGGGAGGGACGCAGAGCUUCCAUGCCCUCCCCAGGCGCUCCACCCUCCAGGAGCCUCCAUGUGCUCUAGAAGCUCCCCGAACCCCCUCCUGAGUGUUUACGGAGGCUUCAUCAUGAAGGCAUGAUUGAUUCAAUCACUGGCCACUGAUGAUCAGCUUAACCUUCAGCCCCUCUCGCCUACCUGGAGGUUGGAGGGUGGGGCUGAAAGUCUCAACCUUGUAAUUCUACCCAGUCUUCCCUGGGACCCGCCCCCAUCCUGAAGCUGGUUAGGGGCUGCCAGCUGGUCUGUCAAUCAUGGGCAUUCAAAAAGGCACCACUUUGGAGAUUCCAAAGAUUUUAGGAGUUGUAUGCCAGGAAAUGGAGAUGAAAACCAAAUGUAUAUUUCACAACAUGACAGUCAUUCUCUUUCAACCACAGCCUCCCUUCCUGCCCUGCUGUGGGCCUCAGCCCCCCAUGCCCCAGGGCCUUUGAACACAUUGCUUGUUGCCUGCAGUGAUUCCCGCUUGCCUGCCGGGUUUGAGCCUGGUUUACUCCUCACCCUUCUGUGCUCAGCCUGAAGGUCUCCCCCCAGGGCAGUCCUCCUGACCUGGUCCUACAAACCCCAGGUCCUGUCCUGCCACUGGUCCCCUUUGUCACUCCUGUCACUUCCCAUGUUUCACAUGUACUGAUGUGGUCUUGCACUGGUGCAGUCCCAUGAGGGCAAGGACUGUGUCUGGUUUGCCCUCCAUCAGACCCCAGCACCAAGUCCACAGGGCGCGCCCAAUGCUGAAUAAAUGAAUGAGUGACCAGCAAGGGAGGUUUGUUGUGUCAUGUUGGGGUUCCAAGGCUGCUGGGCGGACCACGUGGGUGAGGUUGGGUGGGGAGGGAAGCAGAGAUGACCCCUUGGAAGAAGGGGUAGGAGGCAGGGAGGAGGGUGUGGGGUGCUGUGUAAGGAUGGCAAGUGCUUCCAGGAGUGACAAGCCAACCCCUAGAGCACCAGGCAGCAGAAAAAGGCUGACACCCUCACAGCCCACUUCCACUUAGGGACUGAGGCCAGGCCUCAGGCCAGCUCCCCGUUGCUAGGAGAGCCCCAAGGGAAGCUCCAUCAGCUGCUGAGUUGGUCACAGUGGAACCCAUGUGGUGGGUAGGAGGGGUCUGAGGCACAGGGGUUCGGGUGGUGGCUUCAGGACGGAGACUCCUGUCCAGAUCAUGAGGGGCGGCAGCAGGGAUGACCACCUCAAACAGGAAGCAGACAAAGGCACAGAUGGCAGAAGCGGAGGCAGAGAAUGAGCUGCAGGGGCAUCCCCAGAGGGAGAGCCGAGCAAGGGGACAGGCUGGAAACACUCAGCCUCCGUGCCCUGAAGCAGACAGCUGGUCUCACACGCAGGCCAGGCAGCUACACCACCGAGGAUGAGGGGCAUGUCUGCAGGGCAGGCCUCAGGACGCCCUGGGCUGGCCCUGCCAUCAGCCUAGAAAGGCGGCCCAGGCUUUUCCGGUAGGGCGCAUGUCCAGCCAGGUCCUGGGCAGGAGCUGAGACUCCCUGGCUGGCCUGAGAGGGGAUGAUAGGGCAGGCCCAGCCCGGGACUUCCCCACUCCUCCCCGCCACCCAGCAGAACCAGCUGGGCGUGAGAAAAGAAGAGAAGCAAAUCA
ensembl:lncRNA